CAACUUUCAGCAACGGAUCUCUUGGCUCUCGCAUCGAUGAAGAACGCAGCGAAAUGCGAUAAGUAAUGUGAAUUGCAGAAUUCAGUGAAUCAUCGAAUCUUUGAACGCACCUUGCGCUCCUUGGUAUUCCGAGGAGCAUGCCUGUUUGAGUGUCUUG
rnacentral:rRNA from 1 species